UACAUAUUACAUGACCUUGAUCUUCCCGGGAAAGUAGCUAGCAACCUCCAUGAGUAACCUGGGCUUCUCACCCACUUCCUUUCUUCCCCUUCUCUGCCCAACCCCCUCCUCUUGUUUUCAAAUGGAAGAAACAACCCAGUUAAGUUCUUUUAUCUAACUUGGCCAUUUAUUUGUAAAUGAGAGAGGGGGUUGCUGUUGAAUAGUGGGGGCUGUGGACUAAGUUAAAACAGGCUGCCUGAAGAAUCCUGGGUGUGAAGGAAGAAAGUGGAAUCUGCAGGAACAGAAGAGGCGCGGAGAUAUUUAAUCACAUCUUCAUCCUACAAGACAUGAGGUUGAUUCAGUAUAUUGACAACAUCAUGCUGAUUGGAGAGGGAGCGGAAGCUUGUUUGCACUGUAGGCAAGAUGCACGGACGCCAGAGAGGAGGAUUGAAUUCCAUGAAAAUGCAGUCUGUCUCCAGAGCUCUCUGGACGUAGCUGCAGUGAAUGGCCCAGACAGUGUUGACCUGCAGCCUGGAGCUUGCACACUUUCCUGGACCCCAAAUGGCUCUCCUGACAGCAGGUUCUGUGUCCUGGACCCAGAGAUGGACAACGGGGCCCCUCACCCUGCUGGACUCCCAAAUGGCAUCUAGAGUCGUUCAUCAUUAUUGCAUUAUUAGCUGUGCUCAGCUUGGAGCAAGGUGCUAUGCAAAAACAAUCUUUUCCACACUGAUUGCACUUAUAUUCUACUGUCAAACCCCAUCUGAGGCCUGCAGUCUUUCCUAGGUCCUCCUUCCCUCUCUGGUGGUCAUGGUUGUGUCCUCUAUUGCAUUCAGUUUCUUACAAAGUAUUAGCCCUUGUUCAUGCAUCUGUCUCUUUGGAGAGUCUGGGAAUUCCUGGGGCGCAAGGGCUACAUAUAGCCCCCUCUCCCCUCCAGUAUACACACACAUCCAGUCCCCCCACUUUGCUUUUCCUCUAGAGUUUUAGGAGUGUCUGAUGUAGUCAGUACUCACUGUUAGGACUUUGAACUUGCUUGGUGGGGUGACACUGCUGUUUUUUUCUUAGCCUGAAUAGCUGCCAACCUUGUUGGGGGUCAGACAGAGCCACUACCUCCCUCAGUCCCCCUACCUUCACCCUGACCCCACCAAGGUUUUUAAAGCUUGUAACAGUGGCCUGAAGCUCCUAACAUUGCCUGAUUACCUGAUUCGCCUGGCUGCUUGGGGGAAGACGUUUUGGUCUGGAAAUGUGAUGCCUUGAAGAUGCCACAGAAAGCAAAACACCCAGCUUUCCGCUUGGGAAUGGGACUUGUGCCUUUAAGACCUGUCUUGGGAAAUCAGCCUAAGCAACAUAAUUGUGAUGAAAUUACCCCAGAUCACACCCACACAUUCAUUAUGAGAUUCCUUAUUGACACCUUGACAAUUUGUUUCAGGAGACGUUAUUGCAUAUUCCUCCCUCUGGAAUAGAUACAGAUGCAUAUAGAUGUUUGAGCCCACACAUAAUGUAUAUGCAUAUUGGUGUGCUUUUAUUAUAUAAUUACAUGAGGCUAUCAAUCAGUUUUCAUUUGGAGCGCUUUGCAUUUAUAGUUCAGGAAGUUAUUUAAAAUCCAGAGGUGGAGAAGAGACCAUAGAAGAACUAAAGCAGGAGCAUUGGACCGUGUAAGCCAGUAAGCCUUUGUGUUUGGGGAGUUGUGUCUCCCCAUCUCCCAUGCCACCCUUCUUCCUUCAUGAUACCAUGUCUUGCUACCAGUGGGGUCUUAGUCAUGAGCAGCAUUAAUGAGAAGAGGGUAUCCAUGGAAUAACCACAGGGGAACCUCUUUAGGGCCAUAUGGUGCCAUCUUUAGCCCCUAUGCUUGGGUCCUUCCAGUGGGUGUCAGGAAGCCCUGGGGCCACACUGACCCACAGACAAUGGCAAGGGACAGCUGGUGACUGGCCAAGGUCAUAUACCACCGUGGUCCAUAGGGAUAAAAUAAGAUAUGUUUGAGUAGAGCUUCCUGACUUAAAAUUCAUGACACAUGUGAACGGUAGGUUGUAGUCCACAGCCCAGGGCUUGGUCCAGAGCUUGGGGAAAAUGCCAUUCCAUUUUCCCUGUGUUAUACAAAGUGACAUAAAAUAUGAGAGAUUAGGAAGGACAUUAUAUAU